rnacentral:rRNA from 1 species
GCACGGUCCAGUUUACUGGAUGGGUGGCGAGUGGCGAACGGGUGAGUAACGCGUAGGAAUAUACCUUAAAGAGGGGGACAACCUGGGGAAACUCAGGCUAAUACCGCAUAAUCUCUGAGGAGAGAAGCUGGGGACCGCAAGGCCUGGCGCUUUAAGAUUAGCCUGCGUCCGAUUAGCUAGUUGGUGAGGUAAGGGCUCACCAAGGCGACGAUCGGUAGCUGGUCUGAGAGGAUGGCCAGCCACACUGGAACUGAGACACGGUCCAGACUCUUACGGGAGGCAGCAGUGGGGAAUAUUGGACAAUGGGGGGAACCCUGAUCCAGCAAUGCCGCGUGUGUGAAGAAGGCCUGAGGGUUGUAAAGCACUUUCAGUGGGGAGGAGGGUUGAGAGGUUAAGAGCUGCUUGACUGGACGUUACCCACAGAAGAAGCACCGGCUAACUCCGUGCCAGCAGCCGCGGUAAUACGGAGGGUGCGAGCGUUAAUCGGAAUUACUGGGCGUAAAGGGUGCGCAGGUGGUUUGAUAAGUUAUCUGUAAAAGCCCUGGGCUCAACCUGGGAAGG